CGGGCGGCGGGCAAUCAUCAGUCGCAUCGUGACCGCGCGUCGCGUUGUGUGUCGUUCCGGUCCGCGUGCGAAAUACAUCGCGACCACGGCCGACACUAACGGCGACAUGGUGUCCGUGGGCCCGUGGCGGCGCCGCACGCCCGACGAAUGCGACGAGCGCUCCGACCCCGGCGCCUCCAGCUCGGGCGUGCCGCGCGCGCCGCCCAACUGUGCGCGCUGCCGCAACCACCGGCUCAAGAUCGAGCUGAAGGGCCACAAGCGGUACUGCAAGUACCGGUACUGCACGUGCGAGAAGUGCCGGCUGACGGCCGACCGGCAGCGGGUCAUGGCGCUGCAGACGGCGCUGCGGCGUGCCCAGGCGCAGGACGAGGCGCGCGCGCGGGCGCGGGGCGGCGGGCCCGACCCGCGCCUGGAGCUGGACCGGCCCGAGCCGCCCGUGGUGAAGGCGCCGCGCAGCCCGCCGCCGCCGCCGCCGCGCUCCUUCGGCUCGGCCAGCGGCGACUCGGUGCCCGGCUCGCCCGGCGUGUCGCCGUACGCGCCGCCGCCGCCGCCCUCGGCGCCGCCCGUGCCGCCCAUGCCGCCGCUCUUGCCUCCGCAACAGCCCGCGGUGUCACUGGAGACCCUAGUUGAAAACUGUCAUAAGCUCCUAGAAAAAUUCCACUAUUCGUGGGAGAUGAUGCCCCUCGUGCUAGUCAUCCUCAACUACGCGGGCAGCGAUCUGGAGGAGGCGUCACGGAAGAUUGACGAAGGGAAGAUGAUCAUCAACGAGUACGCGAGGAAACACAAUCUGAACAUCUUUGACGGUCACGAACUACGGAACUCGACUCGCCAGAAAAUGCUGAGCGAAAUUAAUAAUAUAAGUGGUGUACUAUCAUCGUCGAUGAAGUUAUUUUGCGAAUGAUACUUUGUUUUACAAGUGCAAUGUUUUGUGUGGACGUGUGCUGUGCUAUGCUCUGUGCGAAUGCCGACGGACAAUCAUCGUUUGCUUGCGGAGGACAUUUUGCACAUUGGGUGGUCCACCAGUGGCAGCUGUACGAGCGCUCGCUGUGCUCCAUCCUCGAGCUGCAGGCGCGCAAGCGCACGUACGGCGUGUGCUGCUCGCCGCGCUACGUGCUCGCGCCGGAGUACGCGCCGCACUUGCUCC